rnacentral:ncRNA from 1 species
AAAAUUUGUAGAUCUUAUUAGUAGGCAACAAAGUAGCUUAGUUUACUUAGGUUAGUUAGUUAGCUUCGGCUUAAGGUAAAUCAGUUUUUAGUUACUAACAGUUGUGUUCAUUGCAUGCUUGAAAUCAAUUUUUGAUGAGGACUGAGCAGUUAUUAAAACUGAAAUUCAGCUGACGCUCACCGCGGACGCUAGCUGCAUCUGUCUCAGCCUCGCGUAGUAUUUUAGCGUCCAAUACUGCUGAUCCGGCCUACCUAGUCGGUGCUCGCUCUUGGUGUUCUUAAUUGAAUGCCCUGAGUGCCAAGUUUACUUUGAAAAAAUUAGAGUGCUCAAAGCAGGCCAUUAGCCGGAAUACUUCAGCAUGGAAUAAUAGAAUAGGACUUCGGUUCUAUUUUGUUGGUUUUCGGAACCCGACGUAAUGAUAAAGAGAGACAGACGGGGGCAGUCGUACUGCGGUGUUAGAGGUGGAAAUCUUGGAUCGCCGCAAGACGAACAACUGCGAAAGCAUUUGCCAAGAAUGUUUUCAUUAUUCAAGAACGAAAAUCAGAGGUUCGAAGACGAUCAGAUACCGUCCUAGUUCUGACCAUAAACGAUGCCAACUGGCGAUCCGAGAUCGUUUGCUUAUUGACCUCUCGGGCAGCCUCCGGGAAACCAAAGUUUUUAGGUU